rnacentral:lncRNA from 1 species
GCUGAUGCUUUGCGAGCUGGCCCUCCGGAGACUCCAGAUCUUUCAAUCGGAAGCGUUUGAUGAGCGCCUCAAUGAAAUGCGUUCACCCAGUCAGCUGUUUAUUUCGAUACCUCCAAUCGUACCACUCGGCGGUGGUGUCAUCAAGAUAAAAAGAAGUAAUGGUGAGUCGGUCGUGCUCCUUAAUAUUGUAAAAAGCAAAAUACCGAUCAGCCUGCAAAACCCAUCGAUCAGGAUUUGAGCUAGAAUAUAUUUCUCAGGGAAGUUGUUCAAUAAGCAUCUGCUAUCUUAUAUUCCUUAGCCCCUGCUGACCAGAAC